CCUCCAAGGCUAAAUACUCCUGACUGACCGAUAGUGAACCAGUACCGUGAGGGAAAGGCGAAAAGAACCCCGGCGAGGGGAGUGAAAAAGAACCUGAAACCGUGUACGUACAAGCAGUGGGAGCACCUUCGGGUGUGACUGCGUACCUUUUGUAUAAUGGGUCAGCGACUUAUAUUCUGUAGCAAGGUUAACCGUAUAGGGGAGCCGCAGGGAAACCGAGUCUUAACUGGGCGUUAAGUUGCAGGGUAUAGACCCGAAACCCGGUGAUCUAGCCAUGGGCAGGUUGAAGGUUGGGUAACACU
rnacentral:rRNA from 1 species